rnacentral:rRNA from 1 species
ACGUGAGUAACCUGCCCUUGACUCUGGGAUAAGCCUGGGAAACUGGGUCUAAUACCGGAUAUGACUCCUCAUCGCAUGGUGGGGGGUGGAAAGCUUUUGUGGUUUUGGAUGGACUCGCGGCCUAUCAGCUUGUUGGUGGGGUAAUGGCCUACCAAGGCGACGACGGGUAGCCGGCCUGAGAGGGUGACCGGCCACACUGGGACUGAGACACGGCCCAGACUCCUACGGGAGGCAGCAGUGGGGAAUAUUGCACAAUGGGCGCAAGCCUGAUGCAGCGACGCCGCGUGAGGGAUGACGGCCUUCGGGUUGUAAACCUCUUUCAGUAGGGAAGAAGCGUAAGUGACGGUACCUGCAGAAGAAGCGCCGGCUAACUACGUGCCAGCAGCCGCGGUAAUACGUAGGGCGCAAGCGUUAUCCGGAAUUAUUGGGCGUAAAGAGCUCGUAGGCGGUUUGUCGCGUCUGCUGUGAAAGACCGGGGCUCAACUCCGGUUCUGCAGUGGGUACGGGCAGACUAGAGUGCAGUAGGGGAGACUGGAAUUCCUGGUGUAGCGGUGAAAUGCGCAGAUAUCAGGAGGAACACCGAUGGCGAAGGCAGGUCUCUGGGCUGUAACUGACGCUGAGGAGCGAAAGCAUGGGGAGCGAACAGGAUUAGAUACCCUGGUAGUCCAUGCCGUAAACGUUGGGCACUAGGUGUGGGGGACAUUCCACGUUUUCCGCGCCGUAGCUAACGCAUUAAGUGCCCCGCCUGGGGAGUACGGCCGCAAGGCUAAAACUCAAAGGAAUUGACGGGGGCCCGCACAAGCGGCGGAGCAUGCGGAUUAAUUCGAUGCAACGCGAAGAACCUUACCAAGGCUUGACAUGAACCGGAAAGACCUGGAAACAGGUGCCCCGCUUGCGGUCGGUUUACAGGUGGUGCAUGGUUGUCGUCAGCUCGUGUCGUGAGAUGUUGGGUUAAGUCCCGCAACGAGCGCAACCCUCGUUCUAUGUUGCCAGCGGUUCGGCCGGGGACUCAUAGGAGACUGCCGGGGUCAACUCGGAGGAAGGUGGGGACGACGUCAAAUCAUCAUGCCCCUUAUGUCUUGGGCUUCACGCAUGCUACAAUGGCCGGUACAAAGGGUUGCGAUACUGUGAGGUGGAGCUAAUCCCAAAAAGCCGGUCUCAGUUCGGAUUGGGGUCUGCAACUCGACCCCAUGAAGUCGGAGUCGCUAGUAAUCGCAGAUCAGCAACGCUGCGGUGAAUACGUUCCCGGGCCUUGUACACACCGCCCGUCAAGUCACGAAAGUUGGUAACACCCGAAGCCGGUGGCCUAACCC